rnacentral:rRNA from 1 species
GACGAACGCUGGCGGCGUGCUUAACACAUGCAAGUCGAACGAAGUGGCGAACGGGUGAGUAACGCGUAAUCAACCUGCCCUUCAGAGGGGGACACCAGUUGGAAACGACUGCUAAUACCGCAUACUGAAGGAGGGGAUUGCGUCUGAUUAGCUAGUUGGAGGGGUAACGGCCCACCAAGGCGAUGAUCAGUAGCCGGUCGGAGAGGAUGAACGGCCACAUUGGGAAUGAGACACGGCCCAGACUCCGACGGGAGGGAGCAGUGGGGAAUCGUCCGCAAUGGAGGAAAGUCUGACGGAGCAACGCCGCGUGAGUGAUGACGGCCUUUGGGUUGUAAAGCUCUGUUAAUCGGGACGCGGUACCGGAAGAGAAAGCCACGGCUAACUACGUGCCAGCCGCCGCGGUAAUUC